rnacentral:tRNA from 1 species
AAGAAAGUGGCAGAGGGGUUAUGCGGCUGGCUUGAAACCAGUUUAUGGGGGUUCAACUCCCUCCUUUCUCG